rnacentral:rRNA from 1 species
UGCAGUCGAACGCCCCGCAAGGGGAGUGGCAGACGGGUGAGUAACGCGUGGGAAUCUACCGUGCCCUGCGGAAUAGCUCCGGGAAACUGGAAUUAAUACCGCAUACGCCCUACGGGGGAAAGAUUUAUCGGGGUAUGAUGAGCCCGCGUUGGAUUAGCUAGUUGGUGGGGUAAAGGCCUACCAAGGCGACGAUCCAUAGCUGGUCUGAGAGGAUGAUCAGCCACAUUGGGACUGAGACACGGCCCAAACUCCUACGGGAGGCAGCAGUGGGGAAUAUUGGACAAUGGGCGCAAGCCUGAUCCAGCCAUGCCGCGUGAGUGAUGAAGGCCUUAGGGUUGUAAAGCUCUUUCACCGGAGAAGAUAAUGACGGUAUCCGGAGAAGAAGCCCCGGCUAACUUCGUGCCA